rnacentral:lncRNA from 1 species
GCACUAUGAAAAAGAAGUCGGAUGCUUCCUAAUCUUAUAUAUUAUAUAGGAUAGGACCCGUUUUCCACUUAAGGCGUCAAUGCGUCUAAGACUUUAAUUAGAAUCUGAUUUUCGGCAUCAAAGAGCGCGUGGGGCUGGUGAGGGAAGGAUUGAAGGCUAGAUUUGACGGUAUGCCAGUUGAUUGAUUCAACUCAACUUUCAAGAUUGGGUGAGUGUACUUUAGUAAUAGUAUGAAGGAUCUAGUGGGCGUACUGUUUUACCUGUCCACUCAAGGAGUUGCAAUCAAAUGGUUUUUGAAAAUGGAAAUCGUGGUCAACAUUUUUCCAGUGCUUCAGCGGGGUUUUACCUUUAUUUGGUAUGCUGAAAAUCAUGUCGUACAGCCGCUGCGAAGCAGAAAUUUUAUUAGAUAAGAUAAAAGUUUUCUCGUUAUUCGUGGUGGGGUCGCGGACGAAUUGGGUUCGAUUCCCAUAGCCCCAAUGUGGUUCAAAGAGAGAUUUAAAGAGAUGUGCCAGAGUGGGCGUACUAUUUUACCUGUCCACUCAAGGAGUCGCAAUUAAAUGGUUUUUGAAAAUGGAAACCGUGGUCAACAUUUUUCCAGUGCUUCGGCGGGGUUUUACCUUUAUUUGGUAUGCUGAAAAUCAUGUCGUACAGCCGCUGCGAAGCAGAAAUUUUAUUAGAUAAGAUAAAAGUUUUCUCGUUAUUCGUGGUGGGGUCGCGGACGAAUUGGGUUCGAUUCCCAUAGCCCCAAUGUGGUUCAAAGAGAGAUUUAAAGAGAUGUGCCAUGUCUGCAUUAAGAUUUAAAACUUGAC